rnacentral:rRNA from 1 species
CCGAACCGACUAAUGUUGAAAAAUUAGCGGAUGACCUGUGGCUGGGGGUGAAAGGCCAAUCAAACCGGGAGAUAGCUGGUUCUCCCCGAAAGCUAUUUAGGUAGCGCCUCGUGAAUUCAUCUCCGGGGGUAGAGCACUGUUUCGGCUAGGGGGCCAUCCCGGCUUACCAACCCGAUGCAAACUGCGAAUACCGGAGAAUGUUAUCACGGGAGACACACGGCGGGUGCUAACGUCCGUCGUGAAGAGGGAAACAACCCAGACCGCCAGCUAAGGUCCCAAAGUCAUGGUUAAGUGGGAAACGAUGUGGGAAGGCCCAGACAGCCAGGAUGUUGGCUUAGAAGCAGCCAUCAUUUAAAGAAAGCGUAAUAGCUCACUGGUCGAGUCGGCCUGCGCGGAAGAUGUAACGGGGCUAAACCAUGCACCGAAGCUGCGGCAGC